rnacentral:lncRNA from 1 species
GCUGGCCGGGCUCUUUUGUUCAGGGCGGCGGACGGAGCGCGGCCAGGCCCGGGCCCCCCCCGACCCCCGAGCGCGCCCCCCGCGCCCCUUCCCUCGGACACCGGCGGCGGGGCUGUGCGAGCCCGGGAAAGCGGAGAAGCUGGCCAGCACAAUGGGAAAAAAGCAGAACAAGAAGAAGGUGGAAGAGGUGCUGGAGGAGGAGGAGGAGGAAUACGUGGUGGAAAAGGUCCUGGAUCGGCGCGUGGUGAAGGGAAAGGUGGAAUAUCUGCUCAAGUGGAAGGGAUUCUCCGACGAGGACAACACCUGGGAGCCCGAGGAGAACCUGGACUGCCCGGACCUGAUCGCGGAAUUCCUGCAAUCCCAGAAAACCGCCCACGAGAGCGAGAAAUCCGAGGGCAGCAAGCGCAAGGCCGAGUCCGACACGGAGGACAAAGGGGAGGAGAGCAAACCAAAGAAAAAGAAGGAAGAGUCGGAGAAACCGCGAGGCUUCGCCCGAGGCUUCGAGCCGGAGCGAAUCAUCGGCGCCACAGAUUCCAGCGGGGAGCUGAUGUUCCUGAUGAAGUGGAAGAACUCGGACGAGGCCGACCUGGUGCCCGCCAAGGAAGCCAACAUCAAGUGCCCGCAGGUGGUGAUCUCGUUCUACGAGGAGCGGUUGACAUGGCACUCCUACCCCUCAGAGGACGAUGACAAGAAGGAGGACAAGAACUAAGCCCUGGUUGUCCCCUCUCGGGCAGCUCUCGGGGUUUUUUUUGGGAAGACGAUCCGAACUUUUGUGGGGUGUGAGCAAAGGAGGGGUUUGGAGGUGCCCUUGGAAGAGCCCCCCAGGCCCGGUGUCUGCGCCCUGCAGCCACUCCUCUGCUCCCUGCCGUGUCCAGAUUCCCAGCAGAAUCCCGUGGAAUUCCCGAUUCCACGGGCGGGGGGGAGGGAGAGCCCGGGGGGAUAUGGCAAGCUUGGGAUCGGGUGGGAAUUGCGGGCUGGGGAGGGUCUCAGAGCAGUGGGAGUGGAAACCAAGCCCCUUCCAUGAAGGACUCGCCGGGAUGGCCGGGCUGGGGUUGGGAUUGGGAUUGGGAAUGCAGGCGGAUCCUGCUUCCCCCCACAGCCCAUCCCGCAGCCCCAGCCUUGUUCCCAAUAGUGUUAACUCUGCAUUUUUAAGGCGUAGCAUGUGUGUAGGUCUUCUGAUUCGGAUUCUUACCUUCCUUUUUCCUUUUUCUUCUUUUCUUUUUUUUUUCUUUUUUUUUUUUUUUUUUGGCUAUUUCCUGGUGUUAUCCUUUGGGAAGGAAGGGAGGGAUUUUGGGGCGAAUUCAAUCACUUUUAAUUAAGGAGGUCUGGUGAUGACAUUCCCAGAUCGUUUCCAUAUUUUUGGGUUUGUAGUUUUUUGUUUUUUGUUUUUUUUUUUUAAAGAACCUGAAUUUGGUCUUUUUUCUAAAAAAAAACAUGAAUUCAGCAAAGAAAAUCAAUUAAUUAAGAAAAAAUUAAGGGAGGAAGGGAGAAGAUCCCAGAAUUGCUGCCAGAACUGGGGGACAGAGACACUGAAACUGUGAAUGUCCAAAAUCUCCGGAGCUAAUCCUCGAGCGAUUUUUAGGGGGAAUUUUUGGGGGAAAGGGGUGGGGGGGGAAUUUUUGGGGUGGGAGGGGACGAAGGGGAGACUUUGUGAAAAUGCAACUUUGUGAUUCUGUAUCGUCCUGCAGCAGAACUGCCACUCCUGACACGUGCAUUGUAUGGGGGGGGGUGAUGGAUUUUAACCCUUUUAUUGCCUUUUUAACCCUUUUGUUUUUCCGUUCUAAGGUGCUAUUUCUCCAAAUUGGGUGGGGGAAAAAAAAUCCCAAAAAAAAAAAAAAAAUUUCCUGAAUUUCUGACCACUUGUUCUUUUUCCCACUCUGGAUUUUCCUGCCCAGCCAGCCAGGGAGGGAACGUGGGAGGGAGAGGAGCCAACAGCAGCACAAGGAAAAAUCCAAUCAAUCCCAAUUUCUCCCCGAGGCGAGGUUGGAGCUGCUUCCCCAGAACCUCGUGGGGGGCGGGGGUUUUGAUUUUUGAAAUCAGAUUUAUUUCCCAAAUCCUGAACUAUUUAAGUGACUCCAGGGGUGGGAUCUCGACGUGCAUUGUACAAACCUUUUUUAUGAGCAUGUGUUUGGGUUCCUGUGCAAAACUCCGUGUGCAAAUGUAAAAGUUCGUGUUUGGAUUUUAACUUCAUACCGAGCUCUGUCCAGUUUUUAUUUUGGAUUUUUUUUUUUGUUUUGUUUCGAUUUUUUUUUUUUGGUCUCAAUAAA